UACAGAGGUCCCAAGCGUUGUUCGGAUUCAUUGGGCGUAAAGGGCGCGUAGGCGGCUUUUCAAGUCGGGGGUGAAAGCCUGUGGCUCAACCACAGAAUUGCCUUCGAUACUGUUAGGCUUGAGACCGGAAGAGGUGAGUGGAACUGCGAGUGUAGAGGUGAAAUUCGUAGAUAUUCGCAAGAACACCAGUGGCGAAGGCGGCUCACUGGUCCGGUUCUGACGCUGAGGCGCGAAAGCGUGGGGAGCAAACAGG
rnacentral:rRNA from 1 species